GCGAGCGGCGGAUGGGUGAGUAACACGUGGGGAACCUGCCCCUAAGUCUGGGAUACCAUUUGGAAACAGGUGCUAAUACCGGAUAAUAAAGCAGAUCGCAUGAUCAGCUUUUGAAAGGCGGCGUAAGCUGUCGCUAAGGGAUGGCCCCGCGGUGCAUUAGCUAGUUGGUAAGGUAACGGCUUACCAAGGCGACGAUGCAUAGCCGAGUUGAGAGACUGAUCGGCCACAUUGGGACUGAGACACGGCCCAAACUCCUACGGGAGGCAGCAGUAGGGAAUCUUCCACAAUGGACGCAAGUCUGAUGGAGCAACGCCGCGUGAGUGAAGAAGGUUUUCGGAUCGUAAAGCUCUGUUGUUGGUGAAGAAGGAUAGAGGUAGUAACUGGCCUUUAUUUGACGGUAAUCAACCAGAAAGUCACGGCUAACUACGUGCCAGCAGCCGCGGUAAUACGUAGGUGGCAAGCGUUGUCCGGAUUUAUUGGGCGUAAAAGCGAGCGCAGGCGGAAAAAUAAGUCUAAUGUGAAAGCCCUCGGCUUAACCGAGGAACUGCAUCGGAAACUGUUUUUCUUGAGUGCAGAAAGAGGAGAGUGGAACUCCUUGUGUAGCGGUUGGAAAUGCGUAGAUAUAUGGAAGAACACCA
rnacentral:rRNA from 1 species